rnacentral:rRNA from 1 species
CCUACGGGUGGCAGCAGUGAGGAAUAUUGGUCAAUGGACGAGAGUCUGAACCAGCCAAGUAGCGUGAAGGAUGACUGCCCUAUGGGUUGUAAACUUCUUUUAUAUGGGAAUAAAAUGUUCCACGUGUGGGAUUUUGUAUGUACCAUAUGAAUAAGGAUCGGCUACCUCCGUGCCAGCAGCCGCGGUAAUACGGAGGAUGCGAGCGUUAGCCGGAUUUAUUGGGUUUAAAGGGAGCGUAGGUGGAUUGUUAGGUCAGUUGUGAAAGUUUGCGGCUGAACCGUAAAAUUGAAGGUGAAGCUGGCAGUCGUGAGUACAGUAGAGGUGGGCGGAAUUCGUGGUGUAGCGGUGAAAUGCUUAGAUAGAACGAAGAACUCCGAUUGCGAAGGCAGCUCACUGGACUGCAACUGACGCUGAGGCUCGAAAGUGUGGGUAUCAAACAGGAUUAGAUAGCCUUGUAGUC